rnacentral:lncRNA from 1 species
UAUAAUUUCUGUGUAUUAAAGUACACAACUUUCUGUUAAAUUGUAAAAUUAAUUGGAUUUAGGGGUUUAUAUCAUCAUAACUCAACCUGAUUGUAUUGAAAAUAUGUCUCAUCCAUCUCUUUAAAGUAUAAUCAUGAUAAAUAUGUAAAUCUUAUGAAAUGUUACGGAAGGAAGUAGGGAAAAAAAAGACGAGGCCUAUCAUGUAAUUAAUGACUUCUUGAUGUCUGGCAUCAAACUUCUGUUUAUUUAUGUAAAACAAUACAUUUUAUCAUCUGAUGUACUCUUAAUUACUCUUCAAAGUAAUGUCAGCAUUUAAAUUCUUCAUUGAUUUUUAAUUUACAUUUAUAUGUAUCAUUUUGUAAAUAUUGACCA